rnacentral:tRNA from 1 species
GCUUAGUGGCAGAGCGUCUGCUUUGUAGCAGAUGGUCGUCAGUUCAAUCCUGGCAAGUGGCU